rnacentral:tRNA from 1 species
UGGGAUUGACUUGAAAUUAAUCUUAGGAGGUUCGAUUCCUUCCUUUCUUG